GGCUUAGUUUGACUCAACACGGGGAAACUCACCAGGUCCAGAAAUGCUUAGGAUUGACAGAUUGAUAGCUCUUUCUUGAUGAUAUGGGUGGUGGUGCAUGGCCGUUCUUAGUUGGUGCAGUGAUUUGUCUGCUUGAUUGCGAUAACGAACGAGACCUUGAGCUUCUACAUAGCCAGGUUGACUUUUGUCGGCCGCCGGCCUCUGAGAGGGACUUUUGGCUCCCGUCAAUGGGAGUACGAGGCAAUGACAGGUCUAGGUAAUCUUGUUAACUCUAUCGCGC
rnacentral:ncRNA from 1 species